CGGGUGAGUAACACGUGGAUAACCUACCUAUAAGACUGGGAUAACUUCGGGAAACCGGAGCUAAUACCGGAUAAUAUUUUGAACCGCAUGGUUCAAAAGUGAAAGAACGGUCUUGCUGUCACUUAUAGAUGGAUCCGCGCUGCAUUAGCUAGUUGGUAAGGUAACGGCUUACCAAGGCAACGAUGCAUAGCCGACCUGAGAGGGUGAUCGGCCACACUGGAACUGAGACACGGUCCAGACUCCUACGGGAGGCAGCAGUC
rnacentral:rRNA from 1 species